GAUGAACGCUGGCGGCGUGCCUAAUACAUGCAAGUCGAGCGAACAGACGAGGAGCUUGCUUCUCUGACGUUAGCGGCGGACGGGAGAGUAACACGUGGAUAACCCACCUAUAAGACUGGGAAAACUUCGGGAAACCGGAGCUAAUACCGGAUAAUAUAUUGAACCGCAUGGUUCAAUAGUGAAAGACGGUUUUGCUGUCACUUAUCGAUGGAUCCGCGCCGCAUUAGCUAGUUGGUACGGUAACGGAUUACCAAGGCAACGAUGCGUAGCCGACCUGAGAGGGUGAUCGGCCACACUGGAACUGAGACACGGUCCAGACACCUACAGGAGGCAGCAGUAGAGAAUCUUCCGCAAUGGGCGAAUGCCUGACGGAGCAACGCCGCGUGAGUGAUGAAGGUCUUCGGAUCGUAAAACUCUGUUAGUAGGGAAGAACAAAUGUGUAAGUAACUAUGCACGUCUUGACGGUACCUAAUCAGAAAGUCACGGCUAACUACGUG
rnacentral:rRNA from 1 species